GCUUAGUUGGUGCAGUGGGUAGCAUGUGGUUAGAAAGUCGUAUGUUCUCGUUCAAUCGGUUUGCACAAACUUCCAUAACCAAGACCUUGGUUCGAUCCCAAGACUUGGCC